CCAGAUAUUUGUGUUGUGGGUUAGGAUGUCUACUGAGUUUACUAAAAGCCAUUUUAAAUAAGAAGUAUGAAAUUUAGUUAUAAAAAAUGAUGAUGCCAGGGAUCAUUUUUUAAAAAAGACAACCAUCCAAACAACAUUAUAUAAAGACAAAAGACUGUAAUUACAGGCCUUCCCAUUGGCCACUGAAAAGCAGGGUUCUACUAACAAUAGCUUUCCUUGAUUGUGUACUAAUCUGCACUAGGGCUGUGCAUGCAUUAGAUCGUUUAAUAAUCUUCUCUUGAGGGAUCCCCUAAAAGACAGCACUAUGUAUUAUUUCUGUUUUGCUGUUAAAGAAAGUAAGCCUUAGAGAAGUUAAAUAACUUGUCCAGAAUUAUACAUAUGGCUACUGUAUUGGACAGCACAGCUCUAGAAACUUCCUAAAAUGUGCUUCAUCGCUCACCAAUACCUCCUUAAUUCUCUUUUCCUAUUAUAUGCUAAACAAAAGAUAUAAUAGGAACAAAAAGAGUAAGGAAGUCUUACCAGAGGUGCUUACCAGAGGCUGAGGAUGGGGAGUGCCAAAGAGAGACUUGGGUCAGUGUGCACAAAGUUACAAUUAGGAGGAACAAGUUCUCGUGUGCCAUUGCACAGGAAGGUGACUAUGGUUAAUAGCUAAAAGAGAGGGCUUUAAAUAGCUAAAAGAGAGGGCUCUAAAUGUUUUUCACCACAAAGAAUUGAUAAAUAUUAGAGUUAAUGAAUUUGUUAAUUAGCCUGAUUUGAGCAGUUCACUACAUAUACAUGUAUCAAAACAUCACAUUAUACCCUAUAAAUAUAUAUAAUUGUUAUUUGUCAAUAAUAUUUAAAAAAUUAUUUUUAAAAUAUGGUGUUCAAAUCUCGCCUCCGACCUAUUGAAUCAGUCUCAGGGUAUGAGGCCUUGAACACUGCGACUGAAAUGCUCCCUGGGUUGUCCUGACUUGUUUCAGCAUCUGAACCAAAAUACCCUGAAAGUUCUUGACAAGAAAAUUAUUAACUGGGCAUAUGCCAACAUCAGAAGUAGCCUAUAAUAACAGUGAUGAUAGUAUUACAAAGUUCUGUUGUUCUUUCAGAACUUAACAUUGAUUAGCAUCUGUGUUAGAUGAUGGCAGUUCAUCACUCAAACAUUCAACUAAUUUAUUUGUUUAAUCAUCACUUGUAGUUUGAUAUGAAGUACAAGAAAUGUGAUACAAAAUAUAGGAGUCUUAAGAAAGACGUACUUGAUUUAUUUACUUGUUCUUGAAUUUAUGGCUUAUAAAAAUUAGAUAUUAUAAUUUUUCCCCUCAGGUCACUAAUGCUCUUAUAAUCAUUUGUCAAUAUUUUAACAGUAUAAAACUUUAUC
rnacentral:lncRNA from 1 species